UACGGAGGAUCCGAGCGUUAUCCGGAUUUAUUGGGUUUAAAGGGUGCGCAGGCGGGAGAUUAAGUCGGCGGUGAAAUUUUGCAGCUCAACUGUAAAAGUGCCUUCGAAACUGGUUUCCUUGAGUGUAGAUGAAGUAGGCGGAAUUUGUAGUGUAGCGGUGAAAUGCAUAGAUAUUACAAUGAACUCCGAUUGCGAAGGCAGCUUACUAGGCCAUAACUGACGCUCAGGCACGAAGGCGUGGGGAUCAAACAGGAUUAGAUACCCGGGUAGUCCCU
rnacentral:rRNA from 1 species